AUUGAACGCUGGCGGCAGGCCUAACACAUGCAAGUCGAACGAGUGGCAGACGGGUGAGUAAUGUCUGGGAAACUGCCUGAUGGAGGGGGAUAACUACUGGAAACGGUAGCUAAUACCGCAUACCAUCAGAUGUGCCCCGAUGGGAUUAGCUAGUUGGGGGGGUAACGGCUCACCAAGGCGACGAUCCCUAUCUGGGCUGAGAGGAUGACCAGCCACACUGGAACGAAGAAACGGUCCAGAAUCCGACGGGAGGCAGCGGUGGGGAAGAUUGCACAAUGGGCGCAAGCCUGAUGCAGCCAUGCCGCGGGUAUGAAGAAGGCCUGCGGGUUGUAAAGUACUGUCAGCGGGGAGGCGUGACCCGCAGAAGAAGCACCGGCUAACUCCGUGCCAGCCGCCGCGGUAAUUC
rnacentral:rRNA from 1 species